GAAAAGAAAAGACAAGAAAACUCGCCCUCUCUCUCUCCCGAUCGCACGACAGAACUAGUCCCCCCCUGUCGUUCGACCAGUUGCAUCGAUUCCAGCCACGGUUCGACGCAAUUUCGGUGACCACUACCUCCUCUAACGUCAGCGACUCCAUUCUCAAUUUUCUUAUCGAUGGUUGGAGGCUAUCUCGCGAUAAUCGAAGCUUUUCUGCUCUAGUUCUUUCGAUUUCCGGCAACGACACCAUCUUCCGAUCAUCUGCACUUCGAUGCAGCGGUGAACAGACCUGUUAAGCUCUUUUCCGGCAAAAUGGCUUAGUAAAUAUUAAGAACAAGACUGUAUUUGAUACCCUCUCGCAAAAAAGAAGCGAAUUGAUGUGAUUUUCGAAGCAUUUGGGGCAAGGUCGGUUUUCCAGCCACCGUAUGUGGCGGUUCCGGCGGCGGCGCCGACGAUGCUCCGGCUGGGUAUUAGGGCACAGAAUCCUCAGCUCCUCACAUAGAUUGCGAUGCCAAUCAUCAUUCGAUAUGAUUUUGAGUCCCGACGAACCGAAUGUUGGAUAGCAGAACGCUUGGAAUAUGGAGCAUAGCUUCUAGCUAGAUCAUAAAGCUGUGAGUAGUGUUAAAUAAUUUGUAUCAUCCACCUGCAUUUGCAUCCAUACAUACAUGCUAAAUGCUAGACAUUACUUAGUUAAUUGUUAUUUUGUGUUGCAUUAUUUGUUGCUAUUAGAAAUAGUGUGAUUAGUUAUGAUGUGCUUCAUGUAUGCUUUGUUUGUAUGAAAUUGGAAUAAAGUAGGUCACCAUUGGGUUUGUGAGAACGGUGUAUGAUACUGUUGGCCAUGUAUAGAGAGAUCGCCCUCGCAAUGUGCAUCUGAUGAAAUAUAAUAUGGAAAACCACAGUGUGGCCUCCUGUUGGUAUGGAAAAGAAAAGAGAGUAGAAAAAAAUGAGAGGGUUAGUCAAGGGAGGUUGAGACUGGUCGGCAAUUUAUGGGGAUCAGCUCCCUAGUGCACAUGUGAUGAGAGUACGGGCCAUUUGUGAGGAUGGCUCAUGGAGGGUUUUGGUGAUGCCACUGACUAAUUUCCACGUGAUGUGAUUAUAUGAAGGUGUUGCUAUUUGUGAUUUCUGCUGUUAUGUCAUUAUGUCAUUUGUGUGAUUGUCUGCAUGAUCAUAUAAUUAGUCGGAUGACUAGAUUGAUUUAUUUACGCAUUUGUGUGAUUGUAUGGGGUGAGAGGGUUACUAAACUACUCACUGAGUUUAAGCGCUCAUCCUAGUCUUAAUAUUUUCUAGGUUACAAAUAUUCUAGUAUCUUGUGAUUCUUUGCCACCCAACAUCUACAGGAAAUGUUGAAAAUAAAAUCUUGAUUAAUUUUGUUUAGUGUAUUGAAGUAAAAUUUUAAAUUCUUAGAUUAUUUCGCAAUUACUAUAGUCAUGUAUAAUGAAUUUAGAAAUUAAUGAUGUAUUACUUAGUGAAGUUCCUAUUGUGUAAUAUACUGAUAUGGGCUUAGAGAACUUUGAAAAUUGAUUAUUAUUGAAUAUGAUGAUACAGGGCAAGCGAGCCCAAGACUUAUGAUAUGUGAA